GACGAACGCUGGCGGCAUGCCUAAUACAUGCAAGUCGAGCGGAGUUGAUGAGAAGCUUGCUUCUCUGAUGCUUAGCGGCGGACGGGUGAGUAACACGUAGGCAACCUGCCCUCAAGCUUGGGACAACUACCGGAAACGGUAGCUAAUACCGAAUACUUGUUUUCUUCGCCUGAAGGAAACUGGAAAGACGGAGCAAUCUGUCACUUGGGGAUGGGCCUGCGGCGCAUUAGCUAGUUGGUGAGGUAACGGCUCACCAAGGCGACGAUGCGUAGCCGACCUGAGAGGGUGAUCGGCCACACUGGGACUGAGACACGGCCCAGACUCCUACGGGAGGCAGCAGUAGGGAAUCUUCCGCAAUGGGCGAAAGCCUGACGGAGCAAUGCCGCGUGAGUGAUGAAGGUUUUCGGAUCGUAAAGCUCUGUUGCCAGGGAAGAACGCUUGGGAGAGUAACUGCUCCCAAGGUGACGGUACCUGAGAAGAAAGCCCCGGCUAACUACGUGCCAGCCGCCGCGGUAA
rnacentral:rRNA from 1 species